AUCCAGCCGACGAGUCCCAAAUAGAACGAAGCACGCGUCCUUGAU
rnacentral:hammerhead_ribozyme from 1 species